GAGUGAACGCUGGCGGUAGGCCUACCCCAUGCACGUCGAACGGCAGCACAGUAAGAGCUUGCUCUUACGGGUGGCGAGUGGCGGACGGGUGAGGAAUACAUCGGAAUCUACUUUUUCGUGGGGGAUAACGUAGGGAAACUUAUGCUAAUACCGCAUACGACCUACGGGUGAAAGCAGGGGAUCUUCGGACCUUGCGCGAUUGAAUGAGCCGAUGUCGGAUUAGCUAGUUGGCGGGGUAAAGGCCCACCAAGGCGACGAUCCGUAGCUGGUCUGAGAGGAUGAUCAGCCACACUGGAACUGAGACACGGUCCAGACUCCUACGGGAGGCAGCAGUGGGGAAUAUUGGACAAUGGGCGCAAGCCUGAUCCAGCCAUACCGCGUGGGUGAAGAAGGCCUUCGGGUUGUAAAGCCCUUUUGUUGGGAAAGAAAAGCAGCAGGUUAAUACCCCGCUGUUCUGACGGUACCCAAAGAAUAAGCACCGGCUAACUUCGUG
rnacentral:rRNA from 1 species